GAGGUGGGAGGAUCGCUUGUGCCUGGGAGGUUGAGACUGCAGAGAGCUGUGAUUGCACCACUGCACUCCAGCCUGAGUGACAGAGCAAGACCCUGUCUC
rnacentral:miRNA from 1 species